CCUGCCUGUAAGACUGGGAUAACUUCGGGAAACCGAAGCUAAUACCGGAUAGGAUCUUCUCCUUCAUGGGAGAUGAUUGAAAGAUGGUUUCGGCUAUCACUUACAGAUGGGCCCGCGGUGCAUUAGCUAGUUGGUGAGGUAACGGCUCACCAAGGCAACGAUGCAUAGCCGACCUGAGAGGGUGAUCGGCCACACUGGGACUGAGACACGGCCCAGACUCCUACGGGAGGCAGCAGUAGGGAAUCUUCCGCAAUGGACGAAAGUCUGACGGAGCAACGCCGCGUGAGUGAUGAAGGCUUUCGGGUCGUAAAACUCUGUUGUUAGGGAAGAACAAGUACAAGAGUAACUGCUUGUACCUUGACGGUACCUAACCAGAAAGCCACGGCUAACUACGUGCCAGCAGCCGCGGUAAUACGUAGGUGGCAAGCGUUAUCCGGAAUUAUUGGGCGUAAAGCGCGCGCAGGCGGUUUCUUAAGUCUGAUGUGAAAGCCCACGGCUCAACCGUGGAGGG
rnacentral:rRNA from 2 species